rnacentral:tRNA from 1 species
GCUCCUGUGGUGUAGUCCGGCCAAUCAUCUCGGCCUUUCGAGCCGAUUACGGGGGUUCGAAUCCCCCCGGGAGCA